AGAACAAGAAAAGGCUCUGAAACAGAUCCAAGAUGUUGUUUGAGCCAUGCAACUAGAAGAUCUCAUAGAACUAAAGUUAUCUAAUUUACAGAAAAGGUUUUACGUGACGUCUAUUGUACAGAUUCAUAUGAAAACCAUAGUUCAAACUCCAAGGUUUAAGAAGUAAGAAAGAUCAUGCCAUUUGCAACAAACAUGCAUGCAUAUUUGAAAAGCAACUGUAAGUAUGCUAUUGGACAUUGGUAAAGAUUGAAUAUCUGACCAUGGCAUAUCAAGAAACCAUGGAAUGAGUACUGCUUAUCAAGAUCUGGGUGUGAGAAGACUUAAAAAGUCAGAUAGUCAGUGAGAACCAGCUAGAAUCCAUGGCCUGAAGACAAAUACUGCUAUGAAUGGUUACAUCUAGGACUUCUGAAAUUAGCCCCAGAUUCAACUCAUUUUUUUCUGCAUUUGCUGAGCAAUAUGACAUGUUUACACCGAUUAGCUAAAAAGUUAUGUGAAGAAUGGGCAACAAUAUCUCUAAGUAACUAGGAGACCAUGUCCCUUGGCAUAAGUAUUGAUCUUCAAUAAUUUGUCCUUGAUAUUGAGAGAAGAGGAUCAAACUAUUUGAACCGGAUUGCUGUACUUCAACAUGUAAAGUGAAAAUGCAGACCCAGUUGACUAUAUUUCACUCAUUUGGGCCAAAGAAGCAGAAGUUUAUUAACAAAGAAGGAGAAUAACAAAAGAAAUAUAAGAUGGAAAGAAAAGCAAAAAGAAAGAAAACUAAAGAAAAAGCAAAAGAAAGAAUACUAAAUCUGAAAUACAUUUUCGUCCCCAAAUCAAGUUGGUGCAUAAAGUUCAAAUGUUUUCCUG
ensembl:lncRNA LINC02364 long intergenic non-protein coding RNA 2364